UUUUUGUUGGAGAUCAAAGUCGCGUUUCGUUCGAAUAAAGAUGAACGGUAACGUUUAUACCCACGCAUUGUUUGAACGGUCGGCCUUUGUUCCGGCUCGUUGUGCAACAGAUGAGAGACGGCUUCCCGCAGAGGCAGCGGUAUCGAAGGCAACAUCACGGCGACUUGUGUGACAAGCUGCGGUGCAACAACAUACGAAAAAAAUGCCCCUUUUGGAACCGAUCACGAUCACGAUCACGACGGAUCACACGUUCAAUAGCGAAAGAGAAAAGACUUUGGAAAGAAGAGAACAACGAGUAUUCGGUGCAACUGUGAUUCGCUUGAAUCAGUGGCCGACCUUGAUUGAAAAUCGCGCAUAUUGUCAUGCCGAAGCUGUACAUGUCGCUGUAGAAGCUUCCCUGUUUCUUUUGCUGUAUUUCUGGAGCUACGGGGCCGCAACGUUACGCGUUACACGCGUUCGCCACGUUACACGGUAACGCGUAACGCGUGUCGAAUUCGAAUGCAAGUUUAAAAAAGAAAAACGGAUCGUGACAAUAAAACACAACUGUGCGCUUUCUCGAA